CCUACGGGGUGCACCAGUGGGGAAUACUGCACAAUGGGCGCAAGCCUGAUGCAGCCAUGCCGCGUGUAUGAAGCAGGCCUUCGGGUUGUAAAGUACUUUCAGCGGGGAGGAAGGUGUCGCGGUUAAUAACCGCAGCAAUUGACGUUACCCGCAGAAGAAGCACCGGCUAACUCCGUGCCAGCAGCCGCGGUAAUACGGAGGGUGCAAGCGUUAAUCGGAAUUACUGGGCGUAAAGCGCACGCAGGCGGUCUGUCAAGUCGGAUGUGAAAUCCCCGGGCUCAACCUGGGAACUGCAUUCGAAACUGGCAGGCUGGAGUCUUGUAGAGGGGGGUAGAAUUCCAGGUGUAGCGGUGAAAUGCGUAGAGAUCUGGAGGAAUACCGGUGGCGAAGGCGGCCCCCUGGACAAAGACUGACGCUCAGGUGCGAAAGCGUGGGGAGCAAACAGGAUUAGAUACCCGCGUAGUC
rnacentral:rRNA from 1 species